rnacentral:rRNA from 1 species
UACGUAGGGUGCUAGCGUUGUCCGGAUUUAUUGGGCGUAAAGAGCGUGUAGGCGGCCAAGUAGGUCCGGUGUGAAAACUCGAGGCUUAACCUCGAGAUGUCAUCGGAAACCAUUUGGCUAGAGUCCGGAAGAGGAAAGGGGAAUUCCUGGUGUAGCGGUGAAAUGCGCAGAUAUCAGGAGGAACACCGGUGGCGAAGGCGGGUCUCUGGGCAGUAACUGACGCUGAGGAGCGAAAGCGUGGGGAGCGAACAGG